rnacentral:tRNA from 1 species
GGGCCUGUAGCUCAGUUGGUAGAGCGCUUGCUCGGCAGGCAAGAGGUCGCCGGUUCGAAUCCGGUCAGGUCCA